UCAGUUGCUUCAUGGGCACAAGAUGGCGAAUUCACCUUUAGUUUUAUGUGACAGGAGGAAGUGACAGGAAGACACAUGUCUAUGAGUUAAGCAAACUUUCCAACAAAUUUCUUACAGUUGUACAUAAAUGUCUCAUUGACCAGAAUUGUGCUACAUGGCUGCUUCUGGCUGUCAGGGAUUUGGAUUCCACAGAUAUAUUAUUUGGAAUUGUGAUCAUUAAAUAAUGCUGAAGCCAAGCUCCUCAAAAAUGUUGUGGAAUAAUUUGUAGUGUAUUACAAAAGAUGCUGGAAGGAGCCUAAUAGAUGAAUGAUCUUGUUCUACGAUGGCUUGACCUUGAGGAUUAUAAGGAAUACUGUUUUAUGGUCAAUAUGAAAAAGAUGGCAAAACUGCUGAAAAGAAGAACUAGUACAAGCUGGAGCAUUAUCAGUUUUAAUAUGUAAAGGACAUCCCAAUGCUGCAAAAGCAGCCAAGCAAUGAGAAAUAACAUGUUGAGUAUUUUCAUUUACAUGAGUUGUGGCAAAAAUAAAUCUAGAAUAAGUAUCAACAAUAACAUAAACAUAACAUUGCUUGCCAAAUUAGGGGAUGUGAGUUACAUCCAUUUGCCAUAACUGAUUUGGCCGUAAACCAUGGGGAUUAACCCCAUUUGGUGAAGAUGGAAUAUAUAUAACACAUUGUGGGCAUUGAUAUGCAAUUCGAUGAACUUGUUCCCUAGUAAUAUUAAUUUUUUAUGUAAACUAGAAGCAUUUUGAUGAUGCAAAGAAUGUGAGGCUUAUGCACAAUCAUAUAAAGACAUUUGUUGACAAACAGUAACAAGUUUAUCAAUCUUAUCAUUACCUGAUGCUAAAUGUCCUGGAAGGUUAGAAUGUGCUUAUAUAUGGCCUAUGAAACACAGAUGGUGACACAUUU